UUUCCCUAUAUUCAUCUCCAUAGGUCUCCCUGAGACAGAUAUAUUGGAAAACCUGGGAAACAUUCAAUGGAGCAGAGGGAGUAGUGGCAGCCUUCAUCUGCACUGCAGGGGGUCCUCCUCCCAAGACAGCUCCAGGACCUGGCCUCCGUCAGAAACAUGAAUUGGAAAACCUUGGAAACAAUUAAUAUAACAGAGGGUGCCAUGGCGGCCUUCAUCUGCACAGCAGGGAGUCCUCCUCCAAAGAGAGCUCCAGGACAUGGUGAGUGAUUUCUGUGUAGCUCUAAAUGUAGCACUUUCUAAAAGUCCAGAUCACAAAUCGAGCAAUGGGAGACACUUCGGGAAAUAAUGGGGCUUUAUCCUAAGGAAACAGCAUCGUGGCAGGGAGAAUUGGAGAGAAAUACUGCACUCUAGGGGUUCCUCUAUCUUAUGCCAAUUGU